AUGUUCACAGGUGAUGGUGAUAGAAAUAUGAUUUUGGGAACGAGUUUCUUUGUAACUCCUUCAGAUUCUGUAGUCGUUAUUGCAGCCAAUGCAAAAGAAUUGAUUAUGUACUUUAAGAACAGCUUCAAGGGUCUUGCACGAUCAAUGCCUACAAGCGGUACUCUAGAUAGAGUUGCCGAAAAGUUUAACCUCUCUUUCUUCGAGUUCAAAUGGCUCUCUUUUGUGCCAUUAGUGUCAGCUAUGCAUCAUUGA
rnacentral:lncRNA from 1 species